UGUCUUUGUCUUUCUCACUUACAUUUUUUUAAUUUUCCGUUUUGCUAUGGCAUAAACAACUAGCAUAUAUUAUACAGUUAUAAAGGGCAACAAAGUUUUUCUUACUAACCAUGCCCUAUAAACAGAAUCACUAACUAAACCACAACUUAAACCAGCUGAACAUGUCUUAAUCCAUACCAUUCAAAUUCAAACCAAAUCAAAAACGUCCUCAAUUUUCUACACGUUUUAACAUGCCAACGAAAAUCCACAAAACAUUUUGAACUAAAAAUGAACGGAAAAAACAAAAAGAGGACUUACAGGCGUCCUGACAACAACUCGCAGCUUUCUAUCAGCUUCAUUUCUAGGUGAAUAAGCCCCAAAAACCAGCUGCCUUGGCCGCCACCGCACCAAAAACCAGCUUUCUAUCAGCUUCAUUUCAGUGAUUUUUCAAAGAACCCACCAGCUGAUUCCAAUCCCAUUCUUUAUUUUCCUUUCUAUUUCCUCUAAUUUCCAGUUUAAAAAGAGAAGAAUAAAAAAAAUGGAAGUCCAGAUGGAUACAUAGAUGAUAAAAAAAACCCAAUUUUUUAUAUAGAAAAAAGGAUUGAAUCGUUUCUAUAGUUUAUAAAUUAAAACCAUGCAACAAAAACCCACCAAAACAAAAGAAAUUGGAUGAACAGAAAAGCCAAAUUCGACCCAAAACUUAGAUUAUAAAGAAGAAAAAUGAUGCAACGAAGAAGGAUAAAAAAAUCAAGAAAUAGAUAGAGAGAGAAACUGGUUUUCUUAGAGAGAGAAACAUCAAGAGAGAGAGUUUUGGUCUGAGGACAAAAGCACUGUGUUUCUUUCUUUCUCCAAAUGGGAGGCUUUCUUCCCCUUUUUAGGUUUGUUUCUUUUAUGGGACUGUGGCAUGGAUACACUGUACAGUGGC
rnacentral:lncRNA from 1 species